AAGUCGUAACAAGGUUUCCGUAGGUGAACCUGCGGAAGGAUCAUUAUCACGUAUCCACGUAUAAACCAUUGUGAACCGUUUACUUACCUUUGCAAGAGUUUGGAGUUUUUUGGUUUCGGCCGAGAAACGAAAGACGAUUGCAAAGUGUAUUACUUUAUUAACCAUUUUAACCAAACAUUAUAACUUUUGAACUAACUUUAUUUCUUACUCUUUCGGGAGAAGAAAUUCAUUACGAAACAAAGAACAACUCUUAGCAACGGAUAUCUUGGUUCUC
rnacentral:misc_RNA from 1 species